AAGAAGCAGAAGAAGAGAGCUGCUUUUUCAUGAAACGGGAGUAAAGUAGUAAACUUACAGGAACAUAUAGCACUACCAAAGUUUGGAUCGGUAUCUGCAUCGAUCUGCACACCCUUGUCUCCUGGAUCGUAGCGGAGAUCAGCGUGAACCACGUGGGUCUCUGCUCCCUGAUCUGUUUCCUGUGUUUGGAAAGACUUCCGGCUUCAUCACGGAGUUUUUCUCGGUUUGUGAGCUCAUCUAAAGCUGAGUAACGGGAGGAGGAGAGUCUGGUGGUGCAGCAGAGGAACAUUUUCAGCCAUUUGGACUCAGCUGAGCCACUACAGAGGAAACAAUGACUUCAACACAAAAGGACCAACAUGGAGCGAGAAGUCAGCACUCUCAGGAGGCCGACAAACCUCACAGAAGAAAGGGAGAGAAAACCUACAGCUGUGAUGAGUGUGGGAAGGAUUUUACCCGGACUGGACACUUAAAAACACACCAACUCAUCCACAGUGGAGUUAAACCUUACAGCUGUGACCUGUGUGGAAAGUCUUUUACCCAGGCUCAGAACUUAAAAACACACCAACUCAUCCACAGUGGAGUUAAAGCGUACAGCUGUGACCUGUGUGGAAAGUCCUUUACCCAGGCUGGAUACUUAAAAACUCACCAACUCUUCCACAGUGGAGUUAAACCUUACAGCUGUGACCUGUGUGGAAAGUCUUUUACCCUGGCUCAAACCUUAAAAACACACCAAGUCAUCCACAGUGGAGUUAAAGCUUACAACUGCGACUUGUGUGGAAAGUCUUUUAACCGGGCUCAAACCUUAAAAACACACCAAUUUAUCCACAGUGGAUUUAAACCUUACAGGUGUGAGUUGUGUGGAAAGUCUUUUAACCGAGAUGAAACCUUAAAAACGCACCAACUCAUCCACAGUGGAUUUAAAGCGUACAACUGUGACUUGUGUGCAAAGUCUUUUACACUGGCUGCACACUUAAAAAAACACCAACUCAUCCACAGUGGAGUUAAAGCACACUGCUGUGAGUUAUGUGGUAAAGCUUUUGCUCAAAAUGGCCACUUACAGAGGCAUCUACUUACCCACUCUGGAAUUAAGGCGCACAGCUGCGAAUUUUGUGGAAAAAGUUUCAGCGACAAACACUACCGAAAUAGUCACUUACGGAUUCACACUGGAAAUGAUGUUUCCUGCUGUGAUCAGUGUGGGAAACUGUUUGCAACAGAUGCACAGUUACAACGACACAUGAGGAGCCACACUGAGGAGAGACCUUAUAAAUGUGACCUGUGUGAGAAGACUUUUAAAUAUUCAUAUCAGCUGAAUAAACACAAACAAAUCCACACCAGAAAGUAACUGUACAAGUGCAGUUACUGUGAGAAGUGGAGGAAAGCACAUGGAUCCAGUUCUCAACCCUGUCGUCACUGUGGUGGUGGGAAAGAGUUUCUCCGUGACCUUUGUGGAAAAACCUCCAAUCAUGAACGGGACCUAAAACCACAUCAACGUAGACACACUGGAGCCAAAAUGAACUACUGCAAAGAAUGUGGGAGAGGCUUCCACACACCAAGUACAUUAAAAAUACAUGAACUCUUCCACAGUGGGGUAAAAAAGCACAUCUGUGACCAGUGUGGGUCAUCCUUCACCACUGGACAUGAUCUCAAUGAAAAAGCAUAAGCGAAUCCACACAGGAGAGACACCAUACAAGUGCAGACACUGUGACAGAAGCUUCUCACAAUCAGGUCAUCGUAACAAACAUGAACGUAGACACAUGGAAGUGAACUUCAGCUGUGACCAGUGUGACAAGAGCUUCAGGAAUCUCAGUUCAUACUCCGAACAGAAACGAUCCCACGAUGUAAAUAAACUGUUUCACUGUUACCAAUGUGCAAAAACAUUCACUUCAUUAUCUGCUCUGUGCAAACAUCAGCCUGAUCAUGCAGGACUGAAAUCACUGGAUCACAAUGAAUCUGAAGAGAGAGAAAGAUCCUCUUCUGGUUUCAGGGUCGGACUUAAAAACCUUGAGAUCAGGCUCCACAGAGUUCAGAUGGAAUCUCCUGUAAAGAGUGUCAGCUGAUGUCACACUUGGAUCUGAUGAGGUAGCUCUGAUUUCUGGAGCUGCAGUGAAUAAUCCUGAAUGUUACAUUUAGGAAGCUGCAUGUAUAGAUAUGCAUAUCAAGUUUAUGUUUUUUCCUUUGAGGGAUUUUAAUUCUCUAAAAUGUUAUCCCUGUUUCAUUUUAUUCUUUGUUCCCUUAGGACACAGUAGUGUUUAGUAGUAGUAUUCAUUUUAUGUGUUACCUCAGUUAAAUUUUGAUUCUUCAUUCAUAUUUAUUCUUUUGCUGUGGUAAUCCCUUCUCUUAAAUCAUUUUCUCCCAAAACUGCAAAUAUUUUCACAGCAGCUGCUCUUAAAACUUCCCAAAUGAAGUAAAUCUGUCCACCAGCUUUGAAACAACACCUGCUGUGACUUUAUGUCCAGAGAAAAGAAACUCAAUCUAAACUGGUUUUGGGCUGUACUUCCAUAUAAUACCAGUUUGUACCAGAAGAUGAAGCAGUGAGUCAGUGUAACCUUUAUUUAAUUGGGCAAAGAACACAUUCGUAUUCACAGUGGCAGCAAAGAAAUGUUGAAAGGUUAAAUACAGCAGCACACAUCAGGACCAUUUUAAAGAUCACAGGUGACUUUUACUUAAUUCAAAUAACUUCAAAUUUUGGCUGCUCCUUUCACUUUAGUGUAUUUACUGUAUCCUUGAAGUCCACGUGUUAUUUUUUAAUGAAUUCAUUUUGAUCCACAUGUUCUGCAGCUGUUUUCCUGUUGAUUUGAAGUUUGUAUUGUGAAAUCCUGAUAAUGUUAAAGCGUUAGUUAUAUUUGAUGAACUCUGUAACGUUUGUCUUAUUAAACAUUUUGGUGUGAAAAAUAAAGAAUUGGUCUCAGAACAAGUAGUUUGAGCCCUGAUUUCAGAUUCAAACUAAUUUAACUGUUUUCAGUGGUACAUGUGGAGGUUUAUCAGAGGAGGAGACUUGGCUGUUCUCCACUCACACAGAACAGGGUUCCUGCAGCUCAUUAAAAACUCUGAAAUGAUCUUCAAGGACAAAAAUAUUUGAUUUUUCUCAAAAACGUGCUGUGGGCAUGACGUUUUUGGAGAGUGUGUUUAAGAUGCAUUGUGAUUAACAUCUCACACAUUCCAAUAAAGCAGAUUUUCCUGCAUUGCAACCGCACUUUGCAGAUGUGUUCUCCCCCCUGUCCGUGUGCACGACUCUCACGGAGCACCACUUUGAAACGCAGCUGAUUGGCAGAUUCCCUUGUCUGCAGAGUCUAAAGACAAAAACGUCCUUCUCCACUCUGUAUGGUUCGUACCAAUUCGUCACACUUCUGUUUGGCUUGUUUGAAGACCCGGCCAUUUUUCAGCACUUCCUGUAGCGACAGCUGCGUCCUCACACUGCAUGUGCUGUUUCCUACCUGGAUGAUGUCGUCAUUCAUAGUGAUACCUCGGUGGAUCAUGUGCAGUGGUUGGUCACGGUCCUGGAUUCCCUGAGGCAGGCAGGGCUGAUGGCAAACCCAAAGAAGUGUGUGGUUGGAUGGAGAGAGGUACAGAGUUCUUUCACUGCUCUCGAGAAGAUCUGCAUGGAGGAAUGGGCCAAAAUACCAGCUACUGUGUGUGCAAACCUGAUAAAGACCUAUAGUAAACGUUUGACCUCUGUUAUUGCCAACAAAGGUUAUGUUGUACUGAGUUGUAUUUUUGUUAUUGACCAAAUACUUA